AGGGUGUCUCAUUCAUUCUUAAGGUAGCCUGAAAGAACUACAACAUUUUCAUUAUAAUUCUGGGUCAGCUUUGCCGUGGGACUACACAUGUAGAGCUGAGGAAGGUCAUUUUCCUUCCGGUCUCAUUUGAAUUAUUCUCCUCCCUGCCACCCCCUCAAAUCACAUCUGCCACUGAUGCCACCUUAUUUUGAUCUCUUCUUCUUUGGCAAUCACUUGUAGCCGAGUAAGAUUGUCUUUCAUGAACAUGGUCUUAACAGUGGGUCCGUAAGUGCCUGUGGAGGCCAAUUCUGGAUUCACCCGUCCUUCCAUAGUGGGGACAUAGGUUUCCGAGAAGGAAUUGAUCACGGUGAGGGUUUGCCAAAUGUGCCUUCCUGUUAGCUCGUUUAUCCCUUGCGUCCUGAGUUCGAGUGUCUUCAAAGUCCACGACACCUUUGGUAAAGCCUGUUCUCCAAUUGGAAUGCUCACAGGCCAGUGUUUCCCAGUUGUCGGUGUUUAUACUACAUUUUUUUAGAUCUGCCUUGAGAGAGUCUUCGAACCUCUUUUGUUGACCACCAGCAUUACACUUUCCAUUUUAAAGUUUGGAAUAGAGUAGUUGCUUUGGAAGACAAUAAUCAGGCAACCAAACAAGAUGACCAGUCCAACGAAGUUGAUGUUGAAGAAUCAUUGCUUCAACACUGGUGAUCUUUACUUCUUCCAGUACACUGGCAUUAGUUUGCCUGUCUUCCCAAGUGAUGUGUAAAUUUUUCCAGAGAAAUCAUUGAUGGAAUCUUUCAAGGAGUUGGUGAUAGCGUUUGUAAGUGGUCCAUGUUUCGUAAGCAUCCAGUAAGGUUGGUAGUACAAUAGCUUUGUAAACAAGCAUUUUGGUUUCUCUGCGGAUGUCCCGGUCCUCAAACACUCUGCACUUCAAUCGGGAGAAAGCUGGAUUUCGGCAUCAAUGUUGGCCCUGGUGGAAAGAUAACUGCCCAGGUAGGAGAAGUGAUCGACACUGUCCAACGUUACACCAUUGAGUUAGAUUAGUGGUGCUGCAGAAGGGUUGUUUUGUGCUUGUUGGUGCAGCACUUUGGUUUUUUGGAUGUUGAGCAAUAGGCCAAGCUUUUCAUAAGCUUCUGCGAAGAUAUUUAGGAUGGUUUGGAGGUUGUCUUCUGAGUGCGCACACACUACGUCAUCAGCAUACUGAAGCUCUGUGACGGAAGUUACUGUAACCUUACUUACUUAUAUCUUUUGAUAUAAGAUGCUCAAUACAACACACAAUGACUGGGGUGAACUGAGCUCACACUCGCACCAUAUAUUUAAAGGGCAUUUAAAGCAAAUCGCUUCCUUCCAAAGAAUCCUGGGGACCAGUUUGUUAAGGGUGCUGGGAACUGUAGCUCUGGGGAGGUAAACUAGAGUUCCUAAAAUUCUUUGGGAGAAGCCAUGAUUGUUAAAGUGGACACCUUUGAAAUAAGAUUAGACAAAUUCAUGGACGAGACAGCUAUCAAUGGCUACUAGCCGUGGUGGCUACACUCGGCCUCCAUGGCCGGAGAUAGCAAUGUUUCCGAAUUUCAGUUGCAGGGAACCUCAGGAAGGGAAAGUGCUCUUGCGCUCAGGUCCUGCUUUCAAAUUUCCCACGGGCAUCUGGUUUGACAUCAAGAAACAAGAUGCUGGACUAAAUGGGCCAUUGGCCUGGUCCAGCAAGCUCUUCUUAUGUUCUUAACAGAAUUUAAGUGCCUCAACCCCACUCAUCUGGAAAGGAUACAGCAGGCAGGAGCACCACUUGCAAAAAGAAAUGUUAGCAGCCGCUGCCAAGCUUCUUGAGCAGAAUUUGGUUGUGCGAUGCUCUGGGGGAAAGCUGAUGGCAGCCUAAUCUGUUGGAAAGGCUUUUUUUCCCCAGCAGCCAUGAAACGUAACAGAGACUUUGGAUAUUGUCGCAGAUACUAGGAACAAACUCCAAUCUCCCUUUAUGUGUCUCCAAAGUAGCUUGACGAAUUCCACUGAAUUUACUCUUGAAUUAAUCCAGUGCAAUUGAAGCCUUUUUAGCAUGUUUAACUAGCCUAUAUUGUCGCCGAUAAGGGUUAGCUGGCCACUGUUUAAAAGCCUUGCUGGAUAAUCUUUCUAGAUUAAUUAAGGGUGGCUUUUUGGAGCAAACCUAGUUCUGCCCCUUGUCUGAAUUGGCUUAAUCUACUCGCAAAGCCACAGUUAAUCUGUGAAAAGGGUCAGGAGGGACUACAUGUCCCAGCAAUUGAAAAGUGCCGGUUAAGUAACAAACGGAAGUCUUUUUGACGAGGGACGUAACGUGACUUCGUCCAAGGGUCUGAUGCCAUACUAAAGCCGCAAGCCAUGCUUACAAUAGCAAUAGGGAACCUUAUUCGAGUUGAGGUCUGCAUUCCUUUUUAGACAACCAUCCCAGGGGAUGUGUGUCUUUGGUGGGCGGGGCCACAGGCAAAAGUGGGUGGAGCAAUGAAUGUAAAUUUCAUUGUUGUAGUGUAGAUUAGUUUCCACGCCCACUCACACAACCCUCUAUCCAGGCAAGCAAGAGGCAAUCUCAGGGUUCACAGGCACACUCCAACCAGCCAAAAACAUUUGGGGAACAUAGUAGGACCAGGGAGGGAUGUGGACAGAGGAGAGGUGAUGUGGUCUGGGGAAAGUUUGGAGGGUCAGGCAGAGAGGCUUGGAGGGCUACAUUCAGCCCCACAGGCCUAAGGGCCCUACCUCUGUUUCACACUAUUGGAUCACGUCACAUAAAGCAUAAACUGCAUUCUAAUUGGGAGGGUAGUUAGACAUGUCUAGGUAAAUGGCUAAACUUUGGAUCUCAAUCCAAUGAUGGCCAAAAACUUGAAUGGCUUUGAAAGAUUGGAUAAAUUUGUGGAGGCUAUCAAUGGUCGCCAGCCAUGAUGGCUGAUCUCUGACUAUAGUUGAAGGCAGCAACGUCUCUGAAUACCAUUUUCUGGGAGCAGCAGGAUGAGAGACUGCUCUUUUGCUCGGGUCUGCAGGAAAACACAAUUUGCAAUCACGCUAACCCAAUUUGUGAUGUUAUCGCUGAUAUCUGUAAGUCCGGAAUUGAAAAUGUGUGUAAUAAACGGCCGCACUGCAAUAUUUAGUUGCAGGACUCACUUGUGACUCCAUAUUGCAAGCAGGGCCCGGGAAAGGAGAGAGAGAGAGAAAUGAGCAGUAAGUUCAUUGUUGGAAUAUGAUUUGAGAGAGGGACAUAGAAGUGUUGACCUAUUAAACCAUUAUAUGAUGUGCCUUUCACCAAACCCAAAGAGGGAUGGAUGCCAUUUCUUAGGAGGAUGAAAAUGACUUGGUUCUGCUUUUUUAAACAUUUGCAUAUAACUUGAUGAGAACUUGUGUGAUGUGCAAAUAAAGAAAAUAAAAAUGACUUUGAAGGAGAAAGCAAUGAAUGAAUUCCUCCAGCUCAGAAAAACAUUGGCAGGGAGGUCCUUGUUAGAUCUGCUACACUCCCUCUGCUGGAUCUCAGGCUCCAGAGCACAAGACAGAAUGACCAUUUAGGAUGCAUAGCCAUAUUCGUUUUCUUCUGUCAUACUGCAUGUGUCAAAACUGUAAAUGAUCUCUUCAUUAAUUCACAAUGGUUAAUUGAUUUCUUAUGGAUUUGUUUUACCUUUUCAUCGAAGACCUUCCUGAAAAGAAUUAUGACCCCCCCCCCAAAAAAAGCUAUUGUACAAAAGAAAUUGGACAAGUUCACAGAGAAUAAGGCUGUCCGUGGCUACUGCAAUGGAAAAGUCGGGGCAGCACAUUUCGGGCAGGACAUAGUUGAACUAUGGAACUCUCUGCCACAGGAGGCAGUGAUGGCCACAAACUUGGAUGACUUUAAAAGAGGAGUGGGCACGUUCAUGGAGAAGAAGGCUAUCAAUGACAACUAGCCAUGAUGCCUAUGUUCUGCCUCCAUCAUCAGACACAGAAAUGCUUCUGAACUCCAGUUUCUGGAAACCACAGUGUGGGGGAGAAUGCGCUUGUCCUCAGGUCCUGCUUGUGGGAUUCCUACAAGCAACUGGAUGGCCACUGUGAGAACAGGAUGAACAGGCUUGUUUUAUGUUCUUACACAUCACACCGAUUCAGUUUGCUUGCGUGACUUGAUGUACAGUCAUACCUCAGGAUGUAUAUGCUUCAGGUUAAGCUUUUUUGGGUUGCUCUCCGUGGCGACCCAGAAGUAAUGGAGUGUGUUACUUCUUGGUUCUCACCGCUCGUGCAUGUGCAGACACUCAAAAUGACGUCACACGCAUGCGCGGAAGCGGCAAAAUGCAACCCACGCACGCGCAGAUGCGAACGGGGCUCCAGAACAGAUCCCGUUCACAUCCAGAGGUACCACUGUUUGUGCGUCUCAACUUUCUUUCCUUUUCAGUGGAGCUUUUGGAAACAACAGCAAACUUUUCAUCAGCACUUUGCCCUUUUACAUGGUAUCGACGCUCGCAAAUAAGGGCAGGAUAAGAAUAUGCUCUGGUUUUGCCUUUUAAUGCAAACUAUCUUAUUCAUACUGUCCCAAACAGUAUGUGGAUAAAAAUGAGGCUACCUUUUAAAAUUCACACUUUUCUGAAUUUUGCAAGACAGUUCUCCUAACAAAUACAAUGGGGAAAGUCUGCAAAAAAAAAAAAAAAGCUUUCGUUUGUGAAAAUAAAUGCAUUAUAUUUGGGGCUAUUGUUUUCAAAAACAUGUAUCACAGGCAAGAUUGCAUACGAAAAUGUUUAUCUUAGAAGUGCGAUACAAAAAUGCUGACAAACUUUUUUUAUUGCACAAAAUUUAUAUGCUACUUGAUUUUAAAACAAUUUCAAAAUAGUUUGCGCAGAGAAUAAAAUGGUGAAAUUUUUGAUCAAAAACAGUUUGAAAACAACUAUUCAAAACAUUCACAAAUAAUUGAGAUCUACAAGAAGCUAAAAAUUAGAUUAAAACAGAUGUUGACAUUUGAUAUGUCCAGAUAGCCUUGCCUAAACAAAAGCAGAAAGUUCCAAAGCUGGGCUGCUACACUAAAAUAUCCAUGGAAUGAGUAUUCUGUGGCACCUGUAACAGUGCCAACUCCACAGAUCAAACUGGCCGAGUGGUAUAUAUCGGUAAUGCGACCCUGCAGGUGAAUUUUCAUGAGGUCAUUUAAAUAAUAAUAAUAAUAGUGACAAACUGAUGUGGAAAUCUGGAAAAUUGAAUUUGAGUUUGGAUAAAUGAGAAACUGGAGGAAACUGAAAUUGUGAGCUUUGUCUGUCCCUGCUCACACCAUGCGUGCGAGGCAGGCCACAGUUAUUUCCAUUUUACAGGUGGAAAACGGAGGCUGAAAGAGAAUAGCUGGGAUUGCCCAAGAACUGAUGACAAAUAUGUGGAACAAACGGUGCAUGAUGAUCCCAGGUCUCUCUGGCUGGUGCAGCAGCAGUCUGAAUCACCCACUGCUGAUGAGUUAUUUGUUCCCUUUGAUGGUUUGGCUGCAUCUGCAUACGCAAAACCAGACAUCUGUUUUUAUUCUGUCUAGUCUCAUUGAAAAUUUAGCUCUGGUGCUGAAUUUAUAUUUUUUUUACACGAUGAGAUCUCAGCUAUGGAGAUUUUCUAUUUCUUUGUUCCUAGGUAAGAAUGUGUGGGAUUUCUCCUAAAGCUGAGCUAAAAUUACUCUCCUCAGGCCUCAGUUUUGUGUUAUAAGUAAAGGUGGGCGGACCUGUCCGCUAUGGUUUAUCUCAGUUUCUAACACUUGAAAGGCCACCUCCGUCCUUACACCUAUCUUUAUCAAUUCAGUUUCAUCUAUUUCAACUAGGUUCGUCUAUUUUUAAAGCUGAAAUAUUGGGGCGGCCCAUUCCUGGAGACAGUGUGGCAUAGUGGUUAGAGUGCCAAAUCUUCCACUCAACCAUGAAUCUCACUGCAUGACUUUGAACCAGUUCCUGCCUCUCAGCCUAACCUACCUCACAGGGUUGUGGUGAGGAUUAAAUGAGGGGGGCACCACCUUUAGCUCCUUGGAGGAAAAGGUGGAAUAUAAAUGCAACAAACAAAUAAAUAUUGGAGUGGGAAGCAUCUCGGCCUGUAAAGCGAGAUGAGCACCACAACCCCCCAGUUGUCUAGGACUGGACUUAACUGUCGGGGGUCCUUUACCUUACUGUUAUUCCACCAGGAUGUGAAGUUGUGUGACCCAUAGCUCUGUAUCCUUUAUACCUGUGGUUUCCAAAGUGGGUGGUACCGCCCCCUGUGGGUGGGUGGGAUUACCUAGGGAGGCUUCGAAGAUGCAAGUGGAAGGAAGGGGGGCACUGGAAGUGUAAAUGACUAUCAGACUUUGAAAAACUGGUAUCAUUGGAUGAACUUCAUCAAUUUUGUGGAAUUAAUUAAACUAAAUAGUUUUAAUUGGAUUUUAAAUAAAUGUGCAAUUCAUUGU